rnacentral:lncRNA from 1 species
GAUGUCAGAGUGCAAGGGGGCAUGGAAGGCGUGUUGCUAAAGAAAAUAUACUGCAAAAGGUCCCAUAAUUGUAUAAUGGCAAUAUACCCCGCAGGUGGCCGUUUACACAGAAUUUGCUGAAUCAGCAUUAUCCAUGUGACCAGUAUGAUAUUUUACUUUCAGCAGGCAUGUUCAAUAGACCCUUGAUGUUCAAUAAAUAUUCAUGAUUUUGACUAUAUGGAGCAACCUCCAAAAAUACAUUAUGUGUAAUGACUAGGAAGUUUACUGAGGCACAAACUGGAAUCGUGGCAUCGUGAGACUGGUAUACAGUUAUUCUUCUUAAAAUGUCAGCAGAUCUUAAUGAUUAAGCAGCUGAAUAAUGGCAAAACACCAUGUGUUUUGAAGCCAAAUCUGGCCUGGGGUAGCUCUGCCAGACGAAGGGUCUCAAGAAAGUAUUCUGGGAGAAUAUGAGGAGGAAAAGCCAAAAACUGAUAGACAGUGAAACAGAAAGUAUAAGAGAAUAAAAGUUGAUAAAUACCAAAGUAUAGAAACUCUGAUCUCUUCUUCCUGUUUCUCAGUAUUCUUGGCAUCGCUGAGGAAGCUAAGGGCACCACCAUGAUUGACAUACAGGGAAAAAACAAAAAACUCCAAUUACUGCUUAGGAGGGAGAACUAAUUCUACCCAAAGGAGGGAAGCACCAUCUGAAGCAUGUCAAACUUGGCCUGCAACCAAAUUCUGCCAUCGGGUGGAGUCUCUCCUUCCAUCUGGGUAAUAAGAAGUUGCAGAUGGAAAAAGCCUGCUGGACUACUGCAUGUACUAUAUGCCUCUUCUGUAAGAAAUCACCUUUAAAAAGAAAAGUUUCAAAGUUUAUCCAAUUUGGAUGGAGAACGGCAUUGCAAGAUAAGUAGUGGCUUUAAAGCAUGUCCAUACUUCUUUGACACUCCUCCCAUCAACAGGGGAAGUCUACUUCUUUUCCCCUUGAGCAUGAGCUAUUCAACUGGCUUGCUGCCAACAAACAGAAUGAGGAGGAAGUGAUACUGUGUGACUUCCAAGGCUAGGUCAUAAAAAAUUAUGCAGGUCUUGAGAUGCUUACUCUUGGAAGUCAGCCACCAUGCUAUAAGGAAGCCCAAGCCACAUAAAGAAGACACAUAGGUGUUCUGGCUGACAGCCCCAGCUGAGAUCUAGCCAAGAGCCAGCAUCCAGACAUAUGAGUGAGAAAGCCACUCAGCUGCCUCCAGCCCCAGCCACUAUCUGAUGGCUAAUGCAUUACAGAUCCUGAGUAAGAACUGGCCAGUUGAGCCCAUCAACUCCCAGAACCACGAGAAGAAACAAUAAUCAACUAUUGUUGUUUUACGCCACUAAGUAUGGAUGACUGUUACACAGCAAUAGCUGGAACAAAUGCUUCUGGCUAAUUUGCCCUUUACAGUAAUCACUCCAGUCGUCUUAUCUUCCAUAGAGAAAUAGUUCUGCUUAUGCUGGAGCUAAGGGCUGGCUCCCUUCAACCAGAUUACUCUCUACAACAUAGGACAAAAAUGAAUAUAAGUGCAAUGGACUCUGUAGGCCUCAGAGCUGCUGGGUUCACCUCUUAGAGGGUAAAAGGAGAGCCAUGGUCUUAGUAAAGUCCCCAGAACAGCUAAAGUUCAGUGGCCACUGAGAAUCCUACGUAGGCACUGAAAGAACAUAAUAAGCGUAUAUGAUAUCAGCACAGUCCCCAACUUGCCCUUUGACUAGAAAAGGCCC